AAACAGACAUACAAAAACAAUACCAUGUCAUAGAUCAAGGCAACGUAAAAAUUAGCGAUUCAUAAGUGAUGCAGUUCAAUUUUUCACCACAGAUUUACCUUGGAAAAUUGUGGAGUUUUGUGGAACUCAACACUGUCUCCUAGCCUACUGCUGAAGUCGUGCGUUAAAUUUGAAUUUAUCAAGUGCACUUUACGACUUGAUAUAGUCUAAAAAUACUUACCGACAUUGCUGCAGAAUGAAGGGAGAGCUGCAGACCCAUUCAACUGUGAGCCACUGCUGCUGGUGCUGGCUAUACCUCCCAUUGUCCUUCCUUUAUGUGCGGAGUGGGGAGCGCGCGCACUGCAGGGCAUGGAAGCGCCCAUGCAAUCUCUUGCAUUUUUUCCUGUCAACAGUGUAAACAACUUAAAAAUACUCCAUUUCUGGUCAUACAGAUAAGAAUAAUACAUUAUUCAAAGCUUAAAUUAUUUAUGUAAACUCACAAUAUCAAGAAAACGUUGUGCUUUUGCAAAAAUAAACCACCACAAAAAAAGGACUGUUUUAAAGGUUAUAUCUGCUAUGAAUAUGAAGUUUGAAGAUUGUUGUAUUGUACUGAAUCUUCUAUAAAGAUGAAUAUGACAUUUCGUUAAUUUAAAAAUAAGCACUUUAAUGUUGUAUAAAUAAAUAAUCAACUUUUGUUCUGUUAGAUGUGUUUUGACUACUUUUUGUAUGUUGUAUAAUUAUAAUAUAUAUCUAGGUAAUGAAGAUAUAUUAACAUAAAUAAAUAAAUAAAAAAAUCCAUGUAUAUAAAUAUAAACAAAAAAACACAAAAAAACAAAAAAACCGCUUGAGCGAUUCAGGAAAAGCAGCUGCUUGAUAAAGUGGACAAAGUUAAUGGCGAUUUCAAAAUGUCCACAAACUCAAUGUGAUGGCCACAAAGAUCACAGCACAAGACUGAACUUCAUUCUGGGGGAAGACAUUUUUUUUUUUUUUACCAUCGAAGAAAAAAUCACUUGGAUGAGUCAGGUUCUGCACAUCUGAGAAGAAGAAACAGGUAAGACGUUUAUAAUCUCAUAUAUUACAAUAAUGAACGAUUUUUCAUAAGAAAUGUUAGGUAGCCUAUAAGACGAAUAAAACACAAAAAUUUUACAACCGGGAAAUAUGACUAUUGGGUUUCUUUUGCACUUCAACAUUUUUAAAUAAUUUUUAAAAAUAAUACUAAAUUAUAAUUAUUAUAAUACGAAUGAUUUAUUAGUAAAUAAUACUAAAUUAUGCUCACAACAAUUAUUUAUUUGAAAACAAUACUUUCAAUAUAACGCAAAGUAUGUUGAUAUAAUGGUAGGUAUAAUGGUAUUAUAAUAAUAAUAUAGGCCAAGCCUACACACACGAAGAUAUACUCCAAGUUAAUUAAUUAGUUAAUUAUUGGGUGCCCAGAAACUGGGAACCCAGUGUCGUUUAUAUUAUAUUUUAUUAAUAAUGUAAUAAUAAUAAUUAUUAUUAUUAUUAUAAUUAUCUUAUUAAUUAUAUUAUCAUUAUUAUUAAUAGUAAUAAUGUAUACAUGGCUUGGUUGAAUUCUAAUGUAGAAUGCGGUCUAUUAUUUCUUGUUAACAGACGCUAAGUACCGUUGCCAUGAAAAACAAAGCGUUGCUAUGGACGCAGGAUUCUAACCUUAGAGACGGAAAGGGCUAUAUUUUCUUUAUUAUUUUCUUUAUUAUUUUUUCACAUUAUCCCUUACAUAAUAUAACGUAAUUAUUAGUAUUAUAACGCAAUAUAUCAUUAUAUAAAUAUAAUAAAAUAAAAAACGUUUAACACCUAACUGUUAUAUGACACAUUCUAAAUCUGGCAGUGGGUAUAUAAGCUCACACACAGCGUACUCACACCUCACUCACUCAGUGGACAUCCCAACUGGACAUCCCAACUGGACAUCCCAACUGUCAGUUUCUCUGAGGUAAAUGUCUUUUUAAUUAACCAUUUUAUUUAAAUUAAAAACACAAAACAAAAUGACAUAUAAAAUAUGUAGACAUGAUAAUAAUAGUAAUAAUAAUAUGGAACUAUAAGGACAGUAGCUUUUGAGCGAUUUUUUCUCAUGGUAAAACGGCCGUUUCCACAAGAAAUUUAAUAAAUUGUCAUAAAAUUGACGGACUGUCUUUUCCAGUAGUAAAUGUACCACAUUUACUCAGACAAACUGCUUUUCCGUCUUUUUCUUUAACUUUAUACCACUCGUCCGCACUGUUAACGCCGUUAUAGGAGUAUUUGUCGUUAAAUACCGUUAUGUUUACGUGACGUCAUUUGGUCUAAAGGAGUAGCCUAUCUAUCCUUUUCAGAUAAGCUCAUUCAUUUUUUAGGGUCUGUCAUGUUAACAUUAGCUACUUCAAAAUAAAUUAUGAAUGCAAUUAUGAUCAAUAUUGUAAGUUAUACUUUAUUUGAAAAUUAACGCGCCUUCUCACAGGCUUCGCGCGCGCCCCUCAACCUCCGCAUGAGCGCGGCGGUGCCGUCGUCACUGUAGGCGCGAGACCCCAUUUCGCGUGAAUGUGUGCACGGCAGUUCUUGUAACUUUGCGCGAAACUCCGCUUCCAGAGGGGCACGACCUCGAGCUUAUUCUGGCCGAACAGCCAAUACCCAGUUUGCGCUUACAUUUAAAAAAUGAGCCUACAAUAGCAGAAAUAAGCCUUUUUGGUGAAAAUAAAGGUCCAUGUUUAAUAAUGUUCAUGAAAUUAAAUUUUUUUAUUGGUUUUCUUUAUAGCCUACAUAACAAAAACCAGAACAAACAAUAAAUACAUAAAUACACUGUAUACAAAAACAAACAAACAAAAAUAAAAAUAAAAAAACUAAUUAAAUAAAUAAAUAAUAAUGUAUUAUUAUUAUAGAAAUUACACUUUAAUGCACAACCGGGUAGGCAAGUCACAAUUCAGGCAUGGAUCUAGUAUCAUCUAUAUCCUUUGAAGUAAGUGUAAAUAAAAUUCUCCCAUGUCAACGUAUAUGUGAUUUCAAUUCACUUUAUGCCUCUUUUCUGUGCUUUCCAGACCCUGCCCUACAGACAGACUAGCACGAUGUCAUCUCAGAAGGUAGGCUUGUCUUGCAAAAAAGGUUUUCAAAUUUACAGCAUAUUGCUUACAUGCCAGAAAAAAAGGGAUUUCACAGCAAUGUGAUAAAUUUAAUGUUAUCUCAAGAUGUUUUUUUCACCUUAUAAUGUGGCAUGAAAGAUCGCUGUAUUUGCCUCAAAAAUGAAUGAUCUUUAGGUUUUCGACUUAAAUUACAUGUGUGUACCCAUUUGCAGAGAAAAAAACACA
ensembl:lncRNA